AAAAUUAUAUAAAAGUUUGUGGUUGAAUAAAAUAAAAAUCUGUCAAUCAAAUUAAAUCAGCUAUAAUUUAUAAAUCUGUCAUCACUAUCUUCUAAAAAGUCUGUCAACCAAAAGAGUCUGCCAUAGAAAAUCUGUCGCAGUUAAAAAAGUCUGCGGAAUAAGAAUAAAUCUGCCGUAAUUAAACGAUAGACUUUUAUAAAAUUGCUGGAAUUUUUUUUAAAGGGUAUUUUUGUAUUUAUUUUAUUUUUAACACAUAUGUCGGCAAGGAAAACAAUCCUUCCCAAAAUUAAGCCGGCGAGCAAACAAUAUCUCUCGGGAAUAAAAACAUAUCGAAAAUGAAAAAAAAACUCAAAAAUAAAGAAAAACAUUGAUACUAAAUCUAAACUUCUCAAACUCAUUACUAAAAGAACUCAAAAACAAAGUACAAAGUAUAAAUCCAAGUUAAAUUAAAAACAGAUCUAAGACUAGAGAUCUAUCCAAAGGAAAUAAAACUAAGACUUUCCUUACCACCAACGGCAGUGAGACAUCAAUCAACACUCCCGAGAUUCAAAGGAAAAAGUCUCAUGAAGAAAGGAAGGAGACCAAGAGCUUCAAUAUUGAGAAAUAUGCAUCUGAGGCAUUGAAGGAUCAGAAAGAACUGUCUCUGUCAUGGUUGGAACGACCAGAACUGAAACUGCAGAUGAAGGAGACAAAACAAGCAGCAAAUCCGGUAGAAGAAGGAUUUAGACUUUAUAAAUCUAGAUCUGAGAAUUUAGAUCUGAAACCGUUGGAAGAAAAGCAGGAUUCAAAUCACAUCAAACCCAAAAGAAAUCGAAACUAGAGAGACUAAAACAAAGAAAACUCGGUUGGUGCUGAAAAAGCCAACGGAACCAGUAACCCUAAACGGCGGCGGUAGAGAUUUUUGUAGAGAGAAGGGAUAUCUUUAUUUUAAGAGAAAGAAAGAGUGAUUUCCUUUCUUGUUUUUU
rnacentral:sRNA from 1 species